rnacentral:tRNA from 1 species
CAGAAAGUAGUUUAUAUUUAAAAUAAUAACUUUGGAAGUUUUCGAUAAUAGUUUUUAUUCUUUUUGA